CCUCAUAAUAACCCUGAUAGACACGACUAUGAUCCCAUUACACAAUGAAGAAACUAAGGCAGACGGGGCCAAAUACAUAGCUAGUAGGCAUCUGUGGCUACACCUGAACUCAGGUCUUCCUGACGUCUGGGCCCAGCGCUCUAGCUAAUGUGCCACUGAGCUGCGCCCGCUUCCAAAGCAGACUGCUGGGGAGUUCCUCUCCGUCAUGGCUCAGAAGAAGGCUCCGAGACCUGCUGAGGUUCCUGGUGGGCAGGUGGGGAUGGGGGCCGGGGGGCCGAAGGGCUGGGACGUAGGCCAAGCCUCCUACAGAGCUUGAAGCUGCCUGGUCUUCAGAAAUAUCUCCUCCCAGGGAAAGAGAAGGCUCCCAGCCCGGAUGCGGCCGGGUCCAGACACACAGGGCAAGGCGAGGCCAUGGCUUAACUGGGAAGGAUGUAACAUCCAUCUUCAUUAGAGGAACUCGCAUCCAACCCUAUCACUCCUCGGUGAGAUCCAAUAAAGGCAUUGCUGUCAUCCUCGGUACUUAUCUCUAAGAACACUCCAAACUUCUCCUCCGUGCAGACGGACAGCUGGAGAAGAUGCCAGGAAGGGAUGAAAGCCAAAGCAAAGGAAUGCAUUUCAAUCCAGAUCUGAGCCCUGUCGCUCACGCCAGGCUCUAAAAGAUGACCAUUAUUCCUGUCCGGGGGAGAAGGGCUGCUUUCUAUGCUACAAAGUAGCAGCGUUCUCUACCUCUCGUGCCUGGGACACGUGCAGUCACAGCUGCUUCUCGGACUAUUCCAAGGGAGGGCGCAGCCAGCCCUGAGGAUGGGAAGGUUCCUGUGAUAGGAUCUGUGACCCGGAAUCGAAAACGAGUGCAUCUCCCCAGAGCCGUCAUGACCCAUUCUGGUGCCCGGGGUAUGCUUGGCAGAGGACGGCCCACCCUGGCUGGGCAGAGUCCCAGGCAGGCAGGAGGGAGAGAGCAGGGAUAUGUGGGGGAGGACAGAGGGGACAUCCUUCUCUGGUCAGAUUUAGCUCCUCUACUCUGCCAUGCAGGGCGCCUGCCUGGGAGAAGUCCAGGAAAGCGGGAGGCAGAAGUCGGUGAUGGGAGGAGAGGGACAGUCCCUGUGACGUGCUGUAGAGAACCACAAGAUGCUGGGGGAGCAGGCAGGGCGACUGCCCUGGAUAAGAUGAGUGGGUGA
rnacentral:lncRNA from 1 species